rnacentral:tRNA from 1 species
UGGCUCAGUGGUAGAGCGCUUGUCUUGCAUGCAUGAGGCCCUGAGUUCAAUUCCUCAG